rnacentral:rRNA from 1 species
UACGGAGGAUGCAAGCGUUAUCCGGAAUGAUUUGGCGUAAAGCGUCCGCAGGUGGCAAUGUAAGUCUGCUGUUAAAGAGUCUAGCUCAACUAGAUAAAAGCAGUGGAAACUACAUAGCUAGAGUACGUUCGGGGCAGAGGGAAUUCCUGGUGUAGCGGUGAAAUGCGUAGAGAUCAGGAAGAACACCGGUGGCGAAGGCGCUCUGCUAGGCCGUAACUGACACUGAGGGACGAAAGCUAGGGGAGCGAAUGGG